GCCGAAGCAAGCAUGGUCCUGGCCUUUCUAUUAGCUCUUAGUAAGAUUACACAUGCAAGCAUCCCCACCCCAGUGAAAAUGCCUUUUAGAUCACCCGGAUCAAAAGGAGCAAGUAUCAAGCAUGCACAAAUGCAGCUCAAAACACUUUGCUCAACCACACUCCCACGGGAAAAAGCACUGAUAAAUAUUUAGUAAUAAGUGAGACUUUAAGCUAUAGUGAUAUGCAGCAUUGGUCAAUUUCAUGCCAGCCACCGCAGCCAUACGAUUAACCCAAGCUAAUUGAACUUGGUGCAAACAGUGCUUAAGUUCUGCCCUCAAUAAAGCUAAACUCCGUCUAAGUUGUAAAAAACUCCAGCUGAAAUAAAAUAUACUAUGAAUGUGCCUUUAAUAUCCUGAAGACGCAACAGCUAAGACCCAAACUGGGAUUAGAUACCCCACUAUGCUUACCCCUAAACUCUAAUAGUUACAUUUAAAAAAAAAAUUUGCCAGAAUACUACCAGCAACAGCUAAAAACUCAAAGGAUUUGAUGCUGCUUAUAUCCCUCUAGAGGAUCCUGUUCUAUAAUUAAUAAACCCCAAUAUACCUCACCACCUCUUGCCCAGCCUAUAUACCACCAUCUUCAGCAAACCCUAAAGUGGUUAUAGAGUAAGCACAAGUGUACACAUAAAAACGUUAGGUCAAGGUGUAGCUCAUGAGGUGGCAAGAAGUAGACUACAUUUUGUAUACCCAGAAAAUCUCACAACAACCUUUAUGAAAUCGAAGGGCUCAAGGAGGAUUUGGCAGUAAACCAAGAUCAGAGUGCUUGGUUGAAUAAAGCCAUGAAGCAUGCACACCCCUCCCAUCACUCUCCUCAAAUAUUAUUCUAGAAAUUACUAAAAACUCUCUAUGCACAUAUAGGGGAGAUAGGUUGUAACAUGGUAAACAUACUGGAAAGUGUGCUUGGAUAAACCAAAGU
rnacentral:ncRNA from 1 species